rnacentral:rRNA from 1 species
AUUGAACGCUGGCGGCAUGCCUUACACAUGCAAGUCGAACGGCAGCGGGGGAGAAGCUUGCUUUUCCUGCCGGCGAGUGGCGAACGGGUGAGUAAUACAUCGGAACGUGCCCUGUAGUGGGGGAUAACUAGUCGAAAGAUUAGCUAAUACCGCAUACGACCUGAGGGUGAAAGUGGGGGACCGCAAGGCCUCAUGCUAUAGGAGCGGCCGAUGUCUGAUUAGCUAGUUGGUGGGGUAAAGGCCUGCCAAGGCGACGAUCAGUAGCUGGUCUGAGAGGAAGAUCAGCCACGCUGGGACUGAGACACGGCCCAGACUCCUACGGGAGGCAGCAGUGGGGAAUUUUGGACAAUGGGCGAAAGCCUGAUCCAGCAAUGCCGCGUGUGUGAAGAAGGCCUUCGGGUUGUAAAGCACUUUUGUCCGGAAAGAAAUGGCUCUGGUUAAUACCUGGGGUCGAUGACGGUACCGGAAGAAUAAGGACCGGCUAACUACGUGCCAGCCGCCGCUGUAA